rnacentral:misc_RNA from 1 species
UCAAGCUCAGGCUUGGAUUUGGGCCUUCGUCUCCUGUUUCCAGAGGACGAGCCCUAAAAAACAUCGGCGGUGGCCCCGAGCCUCAAGCGUAGUAGAAUUUUAUCCCGCUUUGAGAGGGCCUUCGGGCGUCGCUCGCUUCCAGCAACCCCAAAUUUCUUAAGGUUGACCUCGGAUCAGGUAAGGAUACCCGCUGAACUUAA